GACGAACGCUGGCGGCGUGCCUAAUACAUGCAAGUCGAGCGGACGAUUCGAAAGCUUGCUUUUGAAUCGUUAGCGGCGGACGGGUGAGUAACACGUGGGCAACCUGCCCUGUAGACGGGGAUAACACCGAGAAAUCGGUGCUAAUACCGGAUAACACGAAAUGUCGCAUGACGUUUCGUUGAAAGGCGGCGCAAGCUGCCGCUACAGGAUGGGCCCGCGGCGCAUUAGCUAGUUGGUGAGGUAACGGCUCACCAAGGCGACGAUGCGUAGCCGACCUGAGAGGGUGACCGGCCACACUGGGACUGAGACACGGCCCAGACUCCUACGGGAGGCAGCAGUAGGGAAUCUUCCGCAAUGGACGAAAGUCUGACGGAGCAACGCCGCGUGAGCGAAGAAGGCCUUCGGGUCGUAAAGCUCUGUUGUUAGGGAAGAACAAGUAACGUAGUAACUGACGUUACUAUGACGGUACCUAACGAGAAAGCCACGGCUAACUACGUG
rnacentral:rRNA from 1 species